rnacentral:rRNA from 1 species
UAGGGAAUCUUCGGCAAUGGACGGAAGUCUGACCGAGCAACGCCGCGUGAGUGAAGAAGGUUUUCGGAUCGUAAAGCUCUGUUGUAAGAGAAGAACGAGUGUGAGAGUGGAAAGUUCACACUGUGACGGUAUCUUACCAGAAAGGGACGGCUAACUACGUGCCAGCAGCCGCGGUAAUACGUAGGUCCCGAGCGUUGUCCGGAUUUAUUGGGCGUAAAGCGAGCGCAGGCGGUUAGAUAAGUCUGAAGUUAAAGGCUGUGGCUUAACCAUAGUAGGCUUUGGAAACUGUUUAACUUGAGUGCAAGAGGGGAGAGUGGAAUUCCAUGUGUAGCGGUGAAAUGCGUAGAUAUAUGGAGGAACACCGGUGGCGAAAGCGGCUCUCUGGCUUGUAACUGACGCUGAGGCUCGAAAGCGUGGGGAGCAAACAGGAUUAGAUACCCUGGUAGUCCACGCCGUAACGAUGAGUGCUAGGUGUUAGACCCUUUCCGGGGUUUAGUGCCGUAGCUAACGCAUUAAGCACUCCGCCUGGGGAGUACGACCGCAAGGUUG